UAAGACGAACCGUCCGAACGUUAUUCGGAAUCACUGGGCUUAAAGGGUGCGUAGGCGGCGCAGUAAGUAGGGUGUGAAAUCCCUCGGCUUAACCGAGGAACUGCGCCCUAAACUACUGUGCUCGAGGGAGAUAGAGGUGAGCGGAACUUAGGGUGGAGCGGUGAAAUGCGUUGAUAUCCUAAGGAACACCGGUGGCGAAAGCGGCUCACUGGAUCUCUUCUGACGCUGAGGCACGAAAGCUAGGGUAGCGAACGGGAUUAGAUACCCCGGUAGUCCUAGCCGUAAACGAUGAGCACUGGAUUGGAGGGUCCUCCAUAGCCUUCCAGUCGCAGCGAAAGUGUUAAGUGCUCCGCCUGGGGAGUAUGGUCGCAAGGCUG
rnacentral:rRNA from 1 species